GGCCUUGGGACAUAACCCAGACAACAGAUAUGACUUGUUCAUACCAACCGAUGCAUUCCUAAAUAAGAUUAGUUCCGACACCUUGAACCAUCAUCCAGAGGUCAGGUCUUCCAUACUCAAACAUGAUCAUAUCUUACACGGCUUUCCAUUAACAAUCACACUUAGGCUUAGUACCUAUGAUCACACCUAGGCUUAGUAUCUUACACGGCUUUCCAUUAACAAUCACACCUAGGCUUUCCAUUAACAAUCACACCGAUGCAUUCCUAAAUAAGAUUA
rnacentral:lncRNA from 1 species